UGCGAAGGCAGCUUUCUGGAUCAUUACUGACACUGAGGAACGAAAGCAUGGGUAGCGAAGAGGAUUAGAUACCCUCGUAGUCCAUGCCGUAAACGAUGUGUGUUAGACGUUGGAAAUUUAUUUUCAGUGUCGCAGGGAAACCGAUAAACACACCGCCUGGGGAGUACGACCGCAAGGUUAAAACUCAAAUGAAUUGACGGGGACCCGCACAAGUAGUGGAGCAUGUGGUUUAAUUCGAAGAUACGCGCCGAACCUUACCAACACUUGACAUGUUCGUCGCGACUCUAAGAGAUUAGAGUUUUCGGUUCGGCCGGACGAAACACAGGUGCUGCAUGGCUGUCGUCAGCUCGUGUCGUGAGAUGUUGGGUUAAGUCCCGCAACGAGCGCAACCCUCACUUUUAGUUGCCAUCAUUAAGUUGGGCACUCUAGAAGAACUGCCAGUGAUAAGCUGGAGGAAGGUGGGGAUGACGUCAAGUCCUCAUGGCCCUUACGUGUUGGGCUACACACGUGCUACAAUGGCAUCUACAACAGGAAGCAAAACGGCAACGUUAAGCAAAUCCCGAAAAGAUGCCUCAGUUCGGAUUGCACUCUGCAACUCGAGUGCAUGAAGCUGGAAUUACUAGUAAUCGUGGAUCAGCGUGCCACGGUGAAUGCGUUCCCGGGUCUUGUACACACCGCCCGUCACACCAUGGGAGUUGGUUCUACCUUAAGGCAAGGUUUCAAACCCUUGACCACGGUAUAGUCAGCGACUGGGGUGAAGUCGUAACAAGGUAACCGUA
rnacentral:rRNA from 1 species